GGAAGGGAAGGGAAGGAAAAUGUAACUCAAAGUGAAGAAUUAAGGUUGUCAGGGUUUCAACUCAGUGUUAGAUAUAUUGUUUGAGCUUCUGAACAUAUUUAGGUAUGUAUGGUACGUUUUGGGAACCUAAGGAUGUUGCUGAGACUACUAAACCAUGGCCAAAAAAGUGGGUGUUCCGUUUUCUCCCCCAUUAGAUCUAGAGGCGUUUGUGUUCUGCCUCUGAAAUUCUAUCUUGUAAGCCAUCUUCCUCUCUUCUUGCGGCCGUUCAUCAUAUU
rnacentral:misc_RNA from 1 species